CAAGGAAUAGUUUAAUUGUUUAGAAUCCUGGCUUUGGGAGCCAGGGGUAGGAGUUAGAGUCUCCUUUCCUUGA
rnacentral:tRNA from 1 species